rnacentral:rRNA from 1 species
UACCAGCACCCCGAGUGGUCGGGACGAUUAUUGGGCCUAAAGCAUCCGUAGCCGGUUUUACAAGUCCCCCGUUAAAUCCAGCUGCUUAACAGAUGGGCUGCGGAGGAUACUAUAGGACUAGGAGGCAGGAGAGGCAAGCGGUACUCAGUGGGUAGGGGUAAAAUCCGUUGAUCCAUUGAAGACCACCAGUGGCGAAGGCGGCUUGCCAGAAUGCGCUCGACGGUGAGGGAUGAAAGCUGGGGGAGCAAACCGG